rnacentral:rRNA from 1 species
GAUGAACGCUGGCGGCGUGCCUAAUACAUGCAAGUCGAGCGAACAGACGAGGAGCUUGCUCCUCUGACGUUAGCGGCGGACGGGUGAGUAACACGUGGAUAACCUACCUAUAAGACUGGGAUAACUUCGGGAAACCGGAGCUAAUACCGGAUAAUAUAUUGAACCGCAUGGUUCAAUAGUGAAAGACGGUUUUGCUGUCACUUAUAGAUGGAUCCGCGCCGCAUUAGCUAGUUGGUAAGGUAACGGCUUACCAAGGCAACGAUGCGUAGCCGACCUGAGAGGCUGAUCGGCCACACUGGAGCGGGGACACGGUCCAGACUCCUGCGGGAGGCAGCAGUAGGGAAUCUUCCGCAAUGGGCGAAAGCUUGACGGAGCAACGCCGCGUGAGUGAUGAAGGUCUUCGGAUCGUAAAGCUCUGUUAUUAGGGAAGAACAAAUGUGUAAGUAACUAUGCACGUCUUGACGGUACCUAAUCAGAAAGCCACGGCUAACUACGUG